rnacentral:rRNA from 1 species
GACGAACGCUGGCGGCGUGCUUAACACAUGCAAGUCGAACGGAAAGGCCCUGCCUUUGUGUGGUGCUCGAGUGGCGAACGGGUGAGUAACACGUGAGUAACCUGCCCUUGACUUUGGGAUAACUUCAGGAAACUGGGGCUAAUACCGGAUAGGAGCUCCUGCUGCAUGGUGGGGGUUGGAAAGUUUCGGCGGUUGGGGAUGGACUCGCGGCUUAUCAGCUUGUUGGUGGGGUAGUGGCUUACCAAGGCUUUGACGGGUAGCCGGCCUGAGAGGGUGACCGGCCACAAUGGGACUGAGAUACGGCCCAGACUCCUACGGGAGGCAGCAGUGGGGAAUAUUGCACAAUGGGCGAAAGCCUGAUGCAGCAACGCCGCGUGCGGGAUGACGGCCUUCGGGUUGUAAACCGCUUUCGCCUGUGACGAAGCGUGAGUGACGGUAAUGGGUAAAGAAGCACCGGCUAACUACGUG